rnacentral:rRNA from 1 species
GCGCGAAACCUUUUCAAUGCACGAAAGUGUGAGAAGGGAAUUCCAAGUGCUCAAGUUUUACUUGGGCUUUUGCUAAGUGUAAAUAGCUUAGCGAAUAAGGGGUGGGUAAGACUGGUGCCAGCCGCCGCGGUAACACCAGCGCCCCAAGUGGGGAUCGCGAUUAUUGGGUCUAAAGCGUUCGUAGCAGGUCUUGUAAAUCCUUUGUGAAAUCGGCAGGCUUAACCUGUCGGCGCGCAGAGGACACUGCAGGACUCGAGACCGGGAGAGGUUAGAAGUAUUCCUUGGGUACCGGUAAAAUGGGUUAAUCCAGGGAGGACUACCAAUGGCGAAGGCAUCUAACCAGAACGGUUCUGACUGUGAGGAACGAAAGCUAGGGGAGCAAAACGG